GACGAACGCUGGCGGCGUGCCUAAUACAUGCAAGUAGAACGCUGAAGGAGGAGCUUGCUUCUCUGGAUGAGUUGCGAACGGGUGAGUAACGCGUAGGUAACCUGCCUGGUAGCGGGGGAUAACUAUUGGAAACGAUAGCUAAUACCGCAUAACAGUAGAUGUUGCAUGACAUUUGCUUAAAAGGUGCAAUUGCAUCACUACCAGAUGGACCUGCGUUGUAUUAGCUAGUUGGUGGGGUAACGGCUCACCAAGGCGACGAUACAUAGCCGACCUGAGAGGGUGAUCGGCCACACUGGGACUGAGACACGGCCCAGACUCCUACGGGAGGCAGCAGUAGGGAAUCUUCGGCAAUGGACGGAAGUCUGACCGAGCAACGCCGCGUGAGUGAAGAAGGUUUUCGGAUCGUAAAGCUCUGUUGUAAGAGAAGAACGGGUGUGAGAGUGGAAAGUUCACACUGUGACG
rnacentral:rRNA from 1 species